UCUUAGUUGCAUCCAUGGAUGGCUUUAGGGUUAGGAAUAAUAAUAUCUUAUCUCUAUGUUCAUCUUUUUUUUUACAGUAAUACUAUGAGGUUAUAGAUAAAAUCAAGAAACAAUGGAAAUACCAUCAUGUUUAGGGUUCUGAAUCUAUAAUUGUCUUCUUCUUCUUUGUAUUUUUUUUUGAUCGGUUUCUUCAUCUUUGUGUUCAUCCAAUAUGUAGAUACAUAUAUGUUUCAUGUGCUAGAUAAUAUACAAAGAUUUCAUCAGGAAGAGCCUGCUACAUCAAAUCGUGUUUAUGGAUCUAAAUAAUUCUUGAAAGGAAAAAAAAAGUAUAAGAAAGAGAUAUAUGAUUGCGAUGCUGUAUAGAUCUUAGUGUUAGAUGUUUCCCGAUUUCCCUGUGGCCGGACGGAUUCCCUGCCGCUGCAGGUCUCGGCGGUGACCACUUUUCGACCAAUAUCAUUAGCGUCGGAUAAGUCCCUUUUGAGCAUCGGCGUGGGAGAAGAAGAUAUAUCAGGAUGCCAUAGGUUGAACCAAUGUCAUGAUCUUCCGAAAACUCAUUCCUAAACAUCGGAGCAGCUACUAGUUUGGGAGACGAAGUUAUACCAGGAAGGCAAGGUAAGGCAUGGAUGUGAAUUGAAUUGUGACUUGGUUGUAAUUUGAUUGUGCGCACAUGACUACAGAACCUUGUACUAGUGCCAUACAUAAAAGCUAUUCUCCAUUUUGAAUAUAAAUAUAUUUGGGUUAGUUUGUUAAAGAUCAUUGUUUCUGAAUUAGAAUCUGAAAGGAAGAUGGUCUUGUAGUUAUUUUUCUGUGUCAUAUGGCCGGACAUAGACCCUGUAGGUGCCGGAGGUAGACCGGCAAUAGAUGACUGUGUAGGAUACUUGAGUCCAAACUUUUGUUUUAUUUUCUUUUGAGCUAAAUGUUUUUUUUCCUCUUUUUGGGUUUUGGUGGCGUAGCCUAAUGCAUCUUUAAGAUUUAGUGGUAUGAGAACUUGUUUAUAAGAGCCUGAGGUAUUACUGCUCCUACUGAUUCAUGUUAAAGAGUGACUCUAGUCAUCAUGGUCAAGGUUCGGAAGCAGGGGCGGAGCCAGCCCAUUGCAAGGGUGUGUUGUUGCACCCCCUGCCCAGCUGGCUCCAAAGCCCAUUUCAAGGCCUUUAAGAAUUUCUUUUUUAUAGUUAAGCCUAUUUUAGCAAUUUUGGACCCCCAAAAUUUUUGGUUGCACCCAUAACAAGUUUUUGCAUCCCCUUCCCGUAUUUUCUGGCUCCGACCCUGUUCGGAAGCCCCUCUCUUGAAUAAUUUAUCUCUGCUUCAAAGGAGUUGUAGGUUUGCUUUUGUUUGGGUCCGUCUAUUCCUCUGUUGCAUUAUACCUGUUUCACAUUUGGACCACCACUUGCUUAACAAUAGUGUACCCUUAGCUCUACCUAUUUCUGCCACAUUAUUAAUCUGCCUAAACAUGUGGUACCAGUUCUACAGAAAACUUUAAAAGAUAUAUAUAGGUAAUCAAAUCAUUUUUAUUUAAAAAUUGCUGUACCUUUAUUUAUCAAAAGAUCUUUGUACAUUAACGACUCUUUAUUAAUUUCAGACUCUCAACCAACCCCAUCCAUUUCUCUAACCAAAAUCUUUACAUCCCAAAACUUCUCUAUUUUUACAUUUCAUAUGUAAUACAUCUUCUCAUCCCAUUUUCUACAUCAAAAACCAUUGUGUAUCUCUAUGCACUUUGUUUGUGGAAGAUGUUCGCCAUUAACGGCAAAGUCUAUCAAUAAAUCAUUAUAACAUGCAGGUGCGGAGCCAGCCCAUUGCAAGGGAAUGCAUUAGCACCCCUGCCCAGCUGGCACAAAGCCUUCUUCAGGUCCAAUUAGAAAAAAAAUAUUACAUGUACAAGCCUAUUUUUGUUUUUUAGUACCCAAUAGAAAAUUUCCGCACCUCCAUCCCACAAUUCUUGGCUCCGCUCCUGAUAACACGUUCCAAAAUGAAGAAAAAUGGAUGUAAAGAUCUAAUUUUACUUUUUCUACCGAGCAUCACAAGAUCUGCAUUUAUGGCUCAUCAUUCAAUUUUACUUCUCCCAAGUCCCAACCAACCUGUGUAAGGAAAAACUAAUAUCAUGUUUGAGUAUUUUUGUAUUUUUAGUUGUUUAAUUCAUUCUUCAUCUUUAUAUCUUUGUGUAUAGUUUUUUUUUGUUUGAUUCAAGGAAUCAAUAUCAUGAGGCUCUUGAGAUUCACUUUUCUACAUGGGAGCAGCUAUGGGCGUGGAAGAAAAAGAAGUUGUACCAGGAAGUUAAGAUUGGAUUUUUGAAGUCAAUGAACCGGUAUCAUGAGGGUUCACAGAGUAGAGUCACUCUUUAACAUUGGUGCUGACGUUGAUUUGGGGGAGAAAAUUAUAUCAGGAAGCCAAGAUUGAACCAAUUUCAUGAACGUCAGAAUAGUCAUUUCUCAACGUCUUAGCCGCUACUGAAUAUACCAGGAAGUCAAGGGUAAAUCCAUCUUUGUGAUCGAGUGGCACGACAAGUUGUUUACAAGAGCCUGAAACUCAGCAAGGUGACCGGAUGUGGGGAAACGUCACGUCGGCCGGAUAUGGAAAAAUUAAUAUCAUAGCUUCAAUUAUUUAAUUCGUUCAUUUUUUAAAUUAAUAUUAGUUUUUCUUCUUCUUCUUCAAUUAACCAGUAUUAUGAAGAUUCACUUUUUUCAUUAGAUCUGACACAAAAAUAUUCACCCAUAAGAUAAAGUUGUUGCAUAAGAUCUAAAAUUCUAAUUCACCCAUACCAUACCAUUGAUGCAUAAGAUCUAAAAUUCAAAAUAUUCAUCAGUCAGAUGACUAACACUGAAUAUUGAAUAGUGGAUCUAAGAACAGUAAAUAAAAUGAUAAGAAAAUUAUCAAAACAUUUUAGAUAAGCUAGAUAAAGAUUCAAAAGCCCUACGCAAAAGAUAACUAGAUAAAAACCUAAAACCCCAUAAAACUCACUACAACUCACAUCUUAGUGAUUGAACUUAAUCUUGUGAGCUUCAAAUUCUUCCCGUGAGAAGUAGAUCUUUCCCAUAUCCAGUCCCUUGUUGCAAACCCCCUUCUUACAAAUCCAGAAAUCACCAGUACCUUUCUUCGUUGCUUUCUUCAUCUCACGUUCUUGCUUUUUCUCAAGCUCUUUUUUGGACAAGCGCUUUUCACCUUUCUCUUCUCUCUCUCUGUUGGGAGCCAUUGUCUGCUCUCAAAUUUCUCUUUGAUUCAGAUCUAAAAUUACAGAUGGUAGAAAGGAAGGAGGAGGAGUCUAUCGUUAAAUAUCUAGAAGUUUUCUUGUUGAAAAACCAUCUCUACCCUUUCAUAUUCUACACAAUUACAAUGACUCUUGAAACUUGACCUUUGACUUUGAAAUACCUAUUUGCAUCCAUCCCUGUAUCGACUUGGAAAUUUAUCAAAGCAGCCGGGAUUGUUGUUCAUAAUUCGCCCAUUUAUAUGACGUGUAAGUUCGGCCCUACAAUCUCUGCCCAUUAGCACCAAAUUGCUUUGGGCUUUGCUUAAUUACAUCUUUUAAGGUCCCAACACCAGCUAGGGGCGUACUAGUUUUAUCAAGAACGCAUUUUUGGGGACUACUCCCUUUUUGUGGGGGAUUACUAUGGGUGGAUAGUGGAAGUAAACUGGGUCACCCCUUAUCCUAAUUUUUUAUUAUUACCAAAGAAAGCCCUUGGUAAUUAAAUUAGUGUUAGUGUAAUGAUUUUUUAGUGUUAGUGUAAUAGUUAGUCUAGUGAUUAGUGAGUUAAUAAUAUGAUAGGUUUGUUAGAAUCAGAAUUAUUGAGAGAAAGAAGAAGAAAAGAUGAACAAAAAGAUGGUGAACCCAAAAAAUCUUAUUUUGAGUUUUCAAAAUAUGAUUUGAGUGAUUCAUGUGAUGAUAGCUCCUCAUCUGAAUCAAAACUUCAUACAUCUCCUAAUGUAUUUGUCAAUCUUCAUAAAGAUCCGGAUAUGAU